UACAGAGGGGGCAAGCGUUGUUCGGAAUUACUGGGCGUAAAGGGCGCGUAGGCGGCCCGCUAAGUCGAACGUGAAAUCCCCGGGCUCAACCCGGGAACUGCGUCCGAUACUGGUGGGCUCGAAUCCGGGAGAGGGAUGCGGAAUUCCAGGUGUAGCGGUGAAAUGCGUAGAUAUCUGGAGGAACACCGGUGGCGAAGGCGGCAUCCUGGACCGGUAUUGACGCUGAGGCGCGGAAAGCCAGGGGAGCAAACGGGGAUUAAGAA
rnacentral:rRNA from 1 species